CGGGAAAUGAUCCCUCGUAUACUAUGCAUCAGCUAAGUUACCUCGCUCAGCCUAACAACCGAAACUGCACAACAACAGCCCAGGAAGGACCACAAGUCUGCCCAUACGCGUAUUGCCUAUGCUCAUACGCGUAUUGCCCACGUCUGACCAACCCCAUACGCGUAUUGCCCAUGUCCAUACGCGUAUGCUACGCGUAUCACAU
rnacentral:lncRNA from 1 species